CCUACGGGGGGCAGCAGUGAGGAAUAUUGGUCAAUGGACGAGAGUCUGAACCAGCCAAGUCGCGUGAAGGAUGACGGUCCUAUGGAUUGUAAACUUCUUUUGUGCAGGAAUAAAGUGUCCCGUGCGCGGGAUUUUGUAUGUACUGUACGAAUAAGCAUCGGCUAACUCCGUGCCAGCAGCCGCGGUAAUACGGAGGAUGCGAGCGUUAUCCGGAUUUAUUGGGUUUAAAGGGUGCGUAGGCGGGAUUUUAAGUCAGUGGUGAAAGUUUGCAGCUU
rnacentral:rRNA from 1 species